UACGGAAUGUGCAAACGUUAUUCGGAAUCACUGGGCUUAAAGAGUCCGUAGGCGGCCAACUAAGUCGGAUGUGAAAUCCCCAGGCUUAACCUGGGAACUGCAUCCGAUACUGGAUGGCUUGAAUCCGGGAGAGGGAUGCAGAAUUCCAGGUGUAGCGGUGAAAUGCGUAGAUAUCUGGAGGAAUACCGGUGGCGAAGGCGGCAUCCUGGACCGGCAUUGACGCUGAGUGAGCGAAAGCCAGGGGAGCAAACGGG
rnacentral:rRNA from 1 species